AUUGAACGCUGGCGGCAGGCUUAACACAUGCAAGUCGAGCGAGCGGCGGACGGGUGAGUAACGUCUGGGAAACUGCCUGAUGGAGGGGGAUCACUCCGGGAAACGGUAGCUAAAACCGCAUACCAUCAGAUGUGCCCAGACGGGAUUAGAUAGUAGGUGGGGUAUUGGCUCACCUAGGCGACGAGCACUAGCUGGUCUGAGCGGGUGACCAGCCACAAUGGAACUGAGGCACGGUCCAGACUCCUACGGGAGGCAGCAGUGGGGAAUAUUGCACAAUGGGCGCAAGCCUGAUGCAGCCAUGCCGCGUGUGUGAAGAAGGCCUUCGGGUUGUAAAGCACUUUCAGAGAGGAGGCGUUACUCGCCGAAGAAGCACCGGCUAACUCCGUGCCAGCAGCCGCGGUAAUUC
rnacentral:rRNA from 1 species